AGAGUUUGAUCCUGGCUCAGGAUGAACGCUAGCGGCAGGCCUAACACAUGCAAGUCGAGGGGUAACAGUCACGCUUUCGGGCGUGGGCUGACGACCGGCGAACGGGUGCGUAACGCGUAUACAAUCUGCCCACUGCUGGGGGAUAGCCCGAAGAAAUUUGGAUUAACCCCCCAUGGUACGUUUAGGUGGCAUCACCUUUACGUUAAAGGCUACGGCAGUGGAUGAGUAUGCGUCCCAUUAGCUAGUUGGUGAGGUAACGGCUCACCAAGGCUGCGAUGGGUAGGGGUCCUGAGAGGGAGGUCCCCCACACUGGUACUGAGACACGGACCAGACUCCUACGGGAGGCAGCAGUGAGGAAUAUUGGACAAUGGGGGCAACCCUGAUCCAGCCAUGCCGCGUGCAGGAAGACGGCCCUACGGGUUGUAAACUGCUUUUGUACGGGAAGAACUCCCCCUUCGCGCAAGGGGGCUGACGGUACCGUAAGAAUAAGCACCGGCUAACUCCGUGCCAGCAGCCGCGGUAAUACGGAGGGUGCAAGCGUUAUCCGGAAUCAUUGGGUUUAAAGGGUCCGCAGGCUGGGCGGUAAGUCAGUGGUGAAAUGCAGGGGCUCAACCCCGGCACUGCCAUUGAUACUGCCGUUCUUGAAUCGUCGUGAAGUGGCCGGAAUAUGUA
rnacentral:rRNA from 1 species